rnacentral:rRNA from 1 species
GACUAGAGUGCGGUAGGGGAGACUGGAAUUCCUGGUGUAGCGGUGGAAUGCGCAGAUAUCAGGAGGAACACCGAUGGCGAAGGCAGGUCUCUGGGCCGCAACUGACGCUGAGGAGCGAAAGCAUGGGGAGCGAACAGGAUUAGAUACCCUGGUAGUCCAUGCCGUAAACGUUGGGCACUAGGUGUGGGGCUCAUUCCACGAGUUCCGUGCCGCAGCAAACGCAUUAAGUGCCCCGCCUGGGGAGUACGGCCGCAAGGCUAAAACUCAAAGAAAUUGACGGGGGCCCGCACAAGCGGCGGAGCAUGCGGAUUAAUUCGAUGCAACGCGAAGAACCUUACCAAGGCUUGACAUACACCGGAAACUUCCAGAGAUGGUUGCCCCGCAAGGUCGGUGUACAGGUGGUGCAUGGUUGUCGUCAGCUCGUGUCGUGAGAUGUUGGGUUAAGUCCCGCAACGAGCGCAACCCUCGUCCUAUGUUGCCAGCGGGUCAUGCCGGGGACUCAUAGGAGACUGCCGGGGUCAACUCGGAGGAAGGUGGGGAUGACGUCAAAUCAUCAUGCCCCUUAUGUCUUGGGCUUCACGCAUGCUACAAUGGCCGGUACAAAGGGCUGCGAUACCGCGAGGUGGAGCGAAUCCCAAAAAGCCGGUCUCAGUUCGGAUUGGGGUCUGCAACUCGACCCCAUGAAGUCGGAGUCGCUAGUAAUCGCAGAUCAGCAACGCUGCGGUGAAUACGUUCCCGGGCCUUGUACACACCGCCCGUCAAGUCACGAAAGUCGGUAACACCCGAAGCCGGUGGCCCAACUCGCAAGAGGGGGAGCCGUCGAAGGUGGGACUGGCGAUUGGGACUAAGUCGUAACAAGGUAACCA